rnacentral:rRNA from 1 species
CACGUAGGGUGCGAGCGUUGUCCGGAAUUAUUGGGCGUAAAGAGCUCGUAGGCGGUGUGUCACGUCGGCCGUGAAAACCUGCAGCUUAACUGUGGGCGUGCGGUCGAUACGGGCAUCACUGGAGUUCGGCAGGGGAGACUGGAAUUCCUGGUGUAGCGGUGAAAUGCGCAGAUAUCAGGAGGAACACCGAUGGCGAAGGCAGGUCUCUGGGCCGAUACUGACGCUGAGGAGCGAAAGCGUGGGGAGCGAACAGG